UGCCCUGAGUACAGUGUUGCAAUAUGC
rnacentral:piRNA from 1 species